GCCACGAUGGUGGAAUUGGUAGACACAAGGCACUUAAAAUGCCUCGGCCAAUGGCUGUGCGGGUUCGAGUCCCGCUCGUGGCACCA
rnacentral:tRNA from 1 species